ACCUAGGUGAUGAGUCCCAAAUAGGAUGAAAUGUGCAUCUUGGAU
rfam:Schistosoma margrebowiei strain Zambia genome assembly, scaffold: SMRZ_contig0008776